rnacentral:misc_RNA from 1 species
UUUCCGUAGGUGAACCUGCGGAAGGAUCAUUCAUAAUAAGUGUUUUAUGGCACUUUUUUAAAUCCAUAUCCACCUUGUGUGCAAUGUCAGGGUUGAUUUUUCUCUCAAAAGGAUCAGCCCCAAACAUCAACUAUAUCUCAACUCUUUGUCUGAAAAAUAUUAUGAAUAAAACAAUUCAAAAUACAACUUUCAACAACGGAUCUCUUGGCUCUC